rnacentral:rRNA from 1 species
ACUCCUACGGGAGGCAGCAGUAGGGAAUAUUGGUCAAUGGGUGAGAGCCUGAACCAGCCAUGCCGCGUGCAGGAAGACGGCCUUCUGGGUUGUAAACUGCUUUUACCAGGGGAUAAAAAGAUCUUGCGAGAUUAAUUGAAGGUACCUGGAGAAUAAGCACCGGCUAACUACGUGCCAGCAGCCGCGGUAAUACGUAGGGUGCAAGCGUUGUCCGGAUUUAUUGGGUUUAAAGGGUGCGUAGGCGGGCUAUUAAGUCAGAGGUGAAAUCUUGCAGCUCAACUGUAAAAUUGCCUUUGAUACUGGUUGUCUUGAGUUAUUAUGAAGUGGUUAGAAUAUGUAGUGUAGCGGUGAAAUGCAUAGAUAUUACAUAGAAUACCAAUUGCGAAGGCAGAUCACUAAUAAUAUACUGACACUGAUGGACGAAAGCGUGGGUAGCGAACAGGAUUAGAUACCCUGGUAGGCUCU